UACGUAGGGAGCGAGCGUUAUCCGGAUUUAUUGGGUGUAAAGGGUGCGUAGACGGGCAUACAAGUUAGUUGUGAAAUCCCUCGGCUUAACUGAGGAACUGCAACUAAAACUGUAAGUCUUGAGUGCAGGAGAGGUAAGUGGAAUUCCUAGUGUAGCGGUGAAAUGCGUAGAUAUUAGGAGGAACACCAGUGGCGAAGGCGACUUACUGGACUGUAACUGACGUUGAGGCACGAAAGUGUGGGGAGCAAACAGG
rnacentral:rRNA from 1 species